GACGAACGCUGGCGGCGUGCUUAACACAUGCAAGUCGAACGGAAAGGCCCUGCUUUUGUGGGGUGCUCGAGUGGCGAACGGGUGAGUAACACGUGAGUAACCUGCCCUUGACUUUGGGAUAACUUCAGGAAACUGGGGCUAAUACCGGAUAGGAGCUCCUGCUGCAUGGUGGGGGUUGGAAAGUUUCGGCGGUUGGGGAUGGACUCGCGGCUUAUCAGCUUGUUGGUGGGGUAGUGGCUUACCAAGGCUUUGACGGGUAGCCGGCCUGAGAGGGUGACCGGCCACAUUGGGACUGAGAUACGGCCCAGACUCCUACGGGAGGCAGCAGUGGGGAAUAUUGCACAAUGGGCGGAAGCCUGAUGCAGCAACGCCGCGUGCGGGAUGACGGCCUUCGGGUUGUAAACCGCUUUCGCCUGUGACGAAGCGUGAGUGACGGUAAUGGGUAAAGAAGCACCGGCUAACUACGUGCCAGCAGCCGCGGUGAUACGUAGGGUGCGAGCGUUGUCCGGAUUUAUUGGGCGUAGAGGGCUCGUAGGUGGUUGAUCGCGUCGGAAGUGUAAUCUUGGGGCUUAACCCUGAGCGUGCUUUCGAUACGGGUUGACUUGAGGAAGGUAGGGGAGAAUGGAAUUCCUGGUGGAGCGGUGGAAUGCGCAGAUAUCAGGAGGAACACCAGUGGCGAAGGCGGUUCUCUGGGCCUUUCCUGACGCUGAGGAGCGAAAGCGUGGGGAGCGAACAGGCUUAGAUACCCUGGUAGUCCACGCUGUAAACGGUGGGUACUAGGUGUGGGGUCCAUUCCACGGGUUCCGUGCCGUAGCUAACGCUUUAAGUACCCCGCCUGGGGAGUACGGCCGCAAGGCUAAAACUCAAAGGAAUUGACGGGGCCCCGCACAAGCGGCGGAGCAUGCGGAUUAAUUCGAUGCAACGCGUAGAACCUUACCUGGGUUUGACAUGGAUCGGGAGUGCUCAGAGAUGGGUGUGCCUCUUUUGGGGUCGGUUCACAGGUGGUGCAUGCCUGUCGUCAGCUCGUGUCGUGAGAUGUUGGGUUAAGUCCCGCAACGAGCGCAACCCUUGUUCACUGUUGCCAGCACGUUAUGGUGGGGACUCAGUGGAGACCGCCGGGGUCAACUCGGAGGAAGGUGGGGAUGACGUCAAGUCCUCAUGCCCCUUAUGUCCAGGGCUUCACGCAUGCUACAAUGGCUGGUACAGAGAGUGGCGAGCCUGUGAGGGUGAGCGAAUCUCGGAAAGCCGGUCUCAGUUCGGAUUGGGGUCUGCAACUCGACCUCAUGAAGUCGGAGUCGCUAGUAAUCGCAGAUCAGCAACGCUGCGGUGAAUACGUUCCCGGGGCU
rnacentral:rRNA from 1 species